UCGGCCGCUCCUGUAGCCUACUGGUUAAAGCGACCGCCUCGGAUGCGGGAUAUCGCGGGUUCGAAACCACCACCCCUCUCCUCGGCUGAG